UACGUAGGGGGCAAGCGUUGUCCGGAUUUAUUGGGCGUAAAGAGCGUGUAGGCGGCUGGGUAGGUCCGUUGUGAAAACUCGAGGCUCAACCUCGAGACGCCGAUGGAAACCCUCCAGCUAGAGUCCGGAAGAGGAGAGUGGAAUUCCUGGUGUAGCGGUGAAAUGCGCGGAUAUCAGGAAGAACACCCGUGGCUAAGGCGGCUCUCUAGUACGGUACUGACGCUGAGACGCGAAAGCGUGGGGAGCGAACAGG
rnacentral:rRNA from 1 species